rnacentral:rRNA from 1 species
AGAGUUUGAUCAUGGCUCAGGAUGAACGCUAGCGGCAGGCUUAAUACAUGCAAGUCGUGGGGCAGCAGGGUGUAGCAAUACAUUGCUGGCGACCGGCAAACGGGUGCGUAACACGUACGCAACUUUCCUUUAGGCGGGGAAUAGCCCAGAGAAAUUUGGAUUAAUACCCCAUAAUAUUUUGAGAUGGCAUCAUCUUAUUAUUAAAGCUUCGGCACCUAAAGAUGGGCGUGCGGCUGAUUAGGUAGUUGGCGGGGUAACGGCCCACCAAGCCUACGAUCAGUAGCUGAUGUGAGAGCAUGAUCAGCCACACGGGCACUGAGACACGGGCCCGACUCCUACGGGAGGCAGCAGUAAGGAAUAUUGGUCAAUGGACGAAAGUCUGAACCAGCCAUGCCGCGUGGAGGAUGAAGGUCCUCUGGAUUGUAAACUUCUUUUAUUUGGGACGAAAAAAGGGAAUUCUUUCUCACUUGACGGUACCAGAUGAAUAAGCACCGGCUAACUCCGUGCCAGCAGCCGCGGUAAUACGGAGGGUGCAAGCGUUAUCCGGAUUCACUGGGUUUAAAGGGUGUGUAGGCGGGCAGAUAAGUCAGUGGUGAAAUCCCCGAGCUUAACUUGGGAACUGCCAUUGAUACUAUUUGUCUUGAAUGUCGUGGAGGUUAGCGGAAUAUGUCAUGUAGCGGUGAAAUGCUUAGAUAUGACAUAGAACACCCAUUGCGAAGGCAGCUAACUACGCGAAUAUUGACGCUGAGGCACGAAAGCGUGGGGAUCAAACAGGAUUAGAUACCCUAGUAGUCC